GAUGAAGAACGCAGCGAAAUGCGAUAAGUAGUGUGAAUUGCAGAAUUCAGUGAAUCAUCGAAUCUUUGAACGCACAUUGCGCCCUUUGGUAUUCCUUAGGGCAUGCCUGUUCGAGCGUCAUUUAAACCUUCAAGCUCAGCUUGGUGUUGGGUGACUGUCCGCUUCACCGCGGACUCGCCUCAAAAUUAUUGGCGGCCGGUACAUUGGCUUCGAGCGCAGCAGAAACGCGAACUCGGGCCCGUCGUAUUGGCUCCCAGAAGCUAUCUUCACAAUUUUGACCUCGGAUCAGGUAGGGAUACCCGCUGAACUUAAGCAUAUCAAUAAGCGGAGA
rnacentral:misc_RNA from 1 species